UGGGGAAUUUUGGACAAUGGGGGAAACCCUGAUCCAGCCAUCCCGCGUGUGCGAUGAAGGCCUUCGGGUUGUAAAGCACUUUUGGCAGGAAAGAAACGUCAUGGGUUAAUACCCCGUGAAACUGACGGUACCUGCAGAAUAAGCACCGGCUAACUACGUGCCAGCAGCCGCGGUAAUACGUAGGGUGCAAGCGUUAAUCGGAAUUACUGGGCGUAAAGCGUGCGCAGGCGGUUCGGAAAGAAAGAUGUGAAAUCCCAGAGCUCAACUUUGGAAAUGCAUUUUUAACUGCCGGGCUAGAGUGUGUCAGAGGGAGGUGGAAUUCCGCGUGUAGCAGUGAAAUGCGUAGAUAUGCGGAGGAACACCGAUGGCGAAGGCAGCCUCCUGGGAUAACACGGACGCUCAUGCACGAAAGCGUGGGGAGCAAACAGG
rnacentral:rRNA from 1 species